CUGUGGAAUUGGUAAGACGAUCGUUUCAUGUCUUCGGAUGUGCCCCGAUAUGAACCUUCCCGUGCUUUUUAGAACAAGAUCGGAUCAGUCAGAUCACGAUCGCAACGUAAUACGCCGCGUAGACUUCGGUCACGACGGUAUGGCGAGCUGCGCCGUCCACGUUUCUCUUUCUUCAAGAAGACAAAGAACCGCGUCGAUCCGGAUAGUUUUUACUGUCUGGACCGGUUUGACGAGAAUGGGCCCGUAGCUCAGUUGGUUAGAGCACACGCUUGAUAAGCGUGGGGUCGGAAGUUCAAGUCUUCCCGGGCCCACCAGCCUUCGCCCUUAUGGGCUAUGGCUUGGCGAGCCGGGAAAAGACGGUGACGCGGAAGUUGCCGAACCCUGGUUUAAGAUCGGGGCGAUCGAGCUGAUGGGGCUGUAGCUCAGCUGGGAGAGCACCUGCUUUGCAAGCAGGGGGUCAGCGGUUCGAUCCCGCUCAGCUCCACCAAAUCGAUUGGUGUCGAGACUGACGGCAUGUUGUCUUUUGAAGAAGUAAAGGUUUUGCAUCGGCUUUAGAGCCUGAUGCCUGUUCUGCAUACAUUGUGAAGAGAAGAUUGAUCUGGAGGCUUCCAGGUGUUUUGGGUUUUGGCCCGAAACGUCCGAGCCCAGUUCUGAUGAUCCCUUGGAUGGCCUAGCCGGCCGGAUAUGGGUGAAGGACUGGAGGUAGGAAGGAAGCUUGUCGCUCUGGGUCGUUGUUGUUUGCGGUCCUUCUGGGCUGCAUCUGACGGACGACUUGAUUGACGUUGCCUGACCGCGCGUCACCGGAUUUAAUCUCGAGAAGCUGGUCUUAAGAUAGACUGCAAGCGGGCUGCUCGGCGUAGCUCCAAUAAAGCAGAUCUAUCGAACACGUCGAUGGCAUUGUUAGAAAGCGUGAUUGUAAAAGGUAAUCACGCAUUGUUGGUCUGGUAGCUGAGAGGCUUCCGGACUUUGACUGGUUCGACAUACUGAGAAGUAUCUGGCUGGUCAGAUUUGGAACCCCUUCGAGCGCAAGCGAGGAGGAUAGGAAUUCCAAAUCCAACAAAGACGAUGAGCAUUGGCAAUGAGAACGAUCAAGUGUCGUAAGGGUAUUUAGUGGAUGCCUAGGCAUGCACAGGCGAUGAAGGACGUGAUACGCUGCGAAAAGCCGUGGGGAGCUGCGAAUAAGC
rnacentral:misc_RNA from 2 species